GGGCCCGCACAAGCAGCGGAGCGUGUGGUUUAAUUCGAUGCAACACGAAGAACCUUACCAAGGCUUGACAUGCUGGAAGUAGCGAACCGAAAGGGGAGCCACCUGUUAAGUCAGGAGCCUGCACAGGUGCUGCAUGGCUGUCGUCAGCUCGUGCCGUGAGGUGUUGGGUUAAGUCCCCCAACGAGCGUAACCCCUGUUGCCAGUUGUCUUCUCUGGCGAGACUGCCCCGCAAAACGGGGAGGAAGGUGGGGAUGACGUCAAGUCAGCACGGCCCUUAUGCCUUGGGCUACACACACGCUACAAUGGACGGUACAAUAGGUUGCAAUGGAGCGAUUCGGAGCUAAUCCUAAAAGCCGUUCUCAGUUCGGAUUGCAGGCUGAAACCCGCCUGCAUGAAGUCGGAGUUGCUAGUAACCGCAAGUCAGCAAAUUGCGGUGAAUACGUUCUCGGGCCUU
rnacentral:rRNA from 1 species